rnacentral:rRNA from 1 species
GGCAAAAGAGAGCUUGAUUGCAAGACAUACAGGUCGAGCAAGGAUGAAAAUCGGACUUAGUGAGCCGGUGGUUCUGCGUGGAAGGGCCAUCGCGCAACGGAUAAAAGCUACCCUGGGGAUAACAGGCUUAUCUCCCCCAAGAGUCCACAUCGACGGGGAGGUUUGGCACCUCGAUGUCGGCUCAUCACAUCCUGGGGCUGUAGUAGGUCCCCAGGGUUGGGCUGUUCGCCCAUUAAAGUGGUACGCGAGCUGGGUUCAGAACGUCGU